AGAGUUUGAUCAUGGCUCAGAAUCAACGCUGGCGGCGCGCCUAACACAUGCAAGUCGAACGAGAAAGGGGAGCAAUCCCUGAGUACAGUGGCGUACGGGUGAGUAACACGUGGGUAAUCUGCCUCUUAGUGGGGAAUAACCCUGGGAAACCGGGGAUAAUACCGCAUAAGCCCGAGAGGGGAAACGCGAAAGCGGCUGAGAGAGGAGCCCGCGGCCGAUUAGCUAGUUGGUAGGGUAAAAGCCUACCAAGGCAAAGAUCGGUAGCCGGCCUGAGAGGGCACACGGCCACACUGGCACUGAAACACGGGCCAGACUCCUACGGGAGGCAGCAGUGGGGAAUCUUGCACAAUGGGGGAAACCCUGAUGCAGCGACGCCGCGUGAGCGAUGAAGCCCUUCGGGGUGUAAAGCUCUUUCGGCAGGGAAGAUGAUGACGGUACCUGCAGAAGCAGCUGCGGCUAACUACGUGCCAGCAGCCGCGGUAAUACGUAGGCAGCAAGCGUUGUUCGGAGUUACUGGGCGUAAAGGGUGUGUAGGCGGUUUGGUAAGUCUGGUGUGAAAUCUCCCGGCUCAACUGGGAGGGUGCGCCGGAAACUGCCGGACUCGAGUGCGGGAGAGGAGAGUGGAAUUCCUGGUGUAGCGGUGAAAUGCGUAGAUAUCAGGAGGAACACCGGUGGUGUAGACGGCUCUCUGGACCGUAACUGACGCUGAAACACGAAAGCGUGGGUAGCAAACAGGAUUAGAUACCCUGGUAGUCCACGCCCUAAACGAUGCAUAUUUGGUGUGGGUCAUUCAGUUGAUCCGUGCCGGAGCUAACGCGUUAAAUAUGCCGCCUGGGGAGUACAGUCGCAAGGCUGAACUCAAGGAAUUUGACGGGGCCCGCACAAGCGGUGGAGCAUGUGGUUCAAUUCGACGCAACGCGAAGAACCUUACCUGGGCUCGAACGGCU
rnacentral:rRNA from 1 species